rnacentral:misc_RNA from 1 species
UGGUGUCCUCGAGCGAGUAUGA